CUAAGGCAAUGGAAAACAAGGGCCAUUUUUAAGUAGAGACAGACAUGACUAAAUCUGCUUUUCUGGAAGGUCAUUUUUAAUGCCGUGUUGAAAGGACGGGUGUAGUAGGGAAGAAGCGAGACCAGUGAGAGGCUCUUGCCCCAGCUGUCACAGAAGGCGAUGUCAAUAAGAUGUUCAUUCGCCAUUUGAAAAUGAGUCAAGUAGGUGCCAGCACUCACUCUGGAACAAAGUGGAAAGAGAGAAAGUGAAAGGAGGACCAGUGGCCGCAAAACACCUCCGGGGACUGUGGACUGCACAGAAAGACAGUGUGUCACUGUUCAUGAAUAAACAUGAGACGCCCUUGA